UCACUAAUCUGCAACUUGUUUUCAAUAAUUCGUUUUACUGUAUCAAAUUUUCAUUUUUCGUAGUCAUUAAUGUUAUAGCAUAAUAAUAUAGUGUUUGCCAUCCCAUGAUCUAGUAAGUUUUGUGCGUAUUUCAUGAGUACAUUUGCAGGAGAAUGGCGUUUAAAUACUACCGGGCCAUAGUUUAAAAUGUGUAUUGUUUGCAGUAUAUGCGAGUACGUACGUUUUGUCUUCAAAUUCGUGUUAUCGAGUAGAAUGGUCGAGUUGAAACAAACGCGAUGGAUCCCGCCAGUAGUUAAGAAACCGAGAUAGACUUGGAAAAAGAAAUACUCCCAUUGUAAUAAUAAUACAUAGUAAAAUCACUAAAAACAAAGUAUAUAUGGAUUUUUACCGACCGUCGUCAUGUUCGGUUACUCAUCAGCAAAUCUAGAUGAUUCGUGACCUAUCGGCAGUUCUCCAAGUAGUCCGUAUAGGUCGUGUAAUGUUAAAAAGGUUGGGAUAUACUGGUUUAGAUGUGUAAGUCUUUGAUGAUUAUAUCGGAUCAUUUUGUCACAGAACUACAAUAGACACGCUGCAAUUUGUAUAAUAAUCGUUACGGCAAUACAGAUUAAGUUUGUACCGGCAUAAUGACAUUAUUCCGAGAUUCUAUUGUUCCUCGGCUACGGCGACCGUAACUUUUGAGAAAAUACUAAAAUUUCAUUAACACGCAAACACACGCCCCGAAGACAUCACGAAAUAACGAUUUAAUCGUUACCGAUAUGUUAUAAUCGCGGAAAUAGAACGUUAUGUUAUUCUUAUCAUAAAUUAUGAUAAGAGAUAUACCUAUUAUAUUAUGAAUCAUAAUAUAAUAAGUUUAGUAUAAUACCUACUAGGCGUAAUGUAACAACCGUAAUACCUAUUAAAAUAUUGUAAAAAUCCGUAUAUCACAUAAGCUCGUAUAGAUUAUGACUGCGUGUAUGGGAAAUACAACGGAGACUGUAUAGCAUUUUAGUCACACGUAGUUUUCAAAAUAUUAUGUUUGCUAGGU